GUCUACAGACAUGCUACCCUGAACAUAUCCGAUCCUGUCUGAUCUCAGAAGCUAAGCAGGGGGCCAGCCUGCUUAGUACUUGCAUGGGAGAUCACCUAGGAAGACCAGGUGCUAUAAGCA
ensembl:rRNA 5S_rRNA 5S ribosomal RNA